UGGCAAUGAUAAUAAAUUUAAGGCUUGUUUCUCAAAACAUUCGCAGUUGCCGCCUAAGAGCUUUUGCCUUGCCAGGCUUGAGAGCUGGUGCUGCUAAUUCCUUCCUUGGAUGUCUGAGCCU
rfam:Triticum aestivum genome assembly, contig: Triticum_aestivum_CS42_TGACv1_scaffold_526721_6DL